AGUGAACGCUGGCGGUAGGCCUAACACAUGCAAGUCGAACGGCAGCACAGUAAGCGCUUGCUCUUACGGGUGGCGAGUGGCGGAUGGGUGAGGAAUACAUCGGCAUCUACUUUUUCGUGGGGGAUAACGUAGGGAAACUUACGCUAAUACCGCAUAUGACCUACGGGUGAAAGCAGGGGAUCUUCGGACCUUGCGUGAUUGAAUGAGCUGAUGUCGGAUUAGCUAGUUGGCGGGGUAAAGGCCCACCAAGGCGACGAUCCGUAGCUGGUCUGAGAGGAUGAUCAGCCACACUGGAACUGAGACACGGUCCAGACUCCUACGGGAGGCAGCAGUAGGGAAUAUUGGGCAAUGGGCGCAAGCCUGAUCCAGCCAUACCGCGUGAGUGAAGAAGGCCUUCGGGUUGUAAAGCCCUUUUGUUGGGAAAGAAAAGCAGCAGGUUAAUACCCCGCUGUUCUGACGGUACCCAAAGAAUAAGCACCGGCUAACUUCGUG
rnacentral:rRNA from 1 species